UAGGGAAUCUUCGGCAAUGGGGGCAACCCUGACCGAGCAACGCCGCGUGAGUGAAGAAGGUUUUCGGAUCGUAAAGCUCUGUUGUAAGUCAAGAACGGGUGUGAGAGUGGAAAGUUCACACUGUGACGGUAGCUUACCAGAAAGGGACGGCUAACUACGUGCCAGCAGCCGCGGUAAUACGUAGGUCCCGAGCGUUGUCCGGAUUUAUUGGGCGUAAAGCGAGCGCAGGCGGUUUGAUAAGUCUGAAGUUAAAGGCUGUGGCUCAACCAUAGUUCGCUUUGGAAACUGUCAAACUUGAGUGCAGAAGGGGAGAGUGGAAUUCCAUGUGUAGCGGUGAAAUGCGUAGAUAUAUGGAGGAACACCGGUGGCGAAAGCGGCUCUCUGGUCUGUAACUGACGCUGAGGCUCGAAAGCGUGGGGAGCGAACAGGAUUAGAUACCCUGGUAGUCCACGCCGUAAACGAUGAGUGCUAGGUGUUGGAUCCUUUCCGGGAUUCAGUGCCGCAGCUAACGCAUUAAGCACUCCGCCUGGGGAGUACGACCGCAAGGUUGAAACUCUAAAGUGAA
rnacentral:rRNA from 1 species